rnacentral:rRNA from 1 species
GGCGGCACGCUUAACACAUGCAAGUCGAACGGCAGCAGCAUCAAGCUUGCUUGAUGGCUGGCGAGUGGCGGACGGGUGAGUAAUGCGUAGGGAUCUGCCCAGUAGUGGGGGACAACUUGGGGAAACUCAAGCUAAUACCCCAUAGACUCUGAGGAGUAAAGAUGGCCACUGUUUACAAGCUAUCGCUAUUGGAUGAACCUACGUCGGAUUAGCUAGUUGGUGGGGUAAAGGCCUACCAAGGCGACGAUCUGUAGCUGGUCUGAGAGGACGAACAGCCACACUGGGACUGAGACACGGCCCAGACUCCUACGGGAGGCAGCAGUGGGGAAUAUUGGACAAUGGGGGCAACCCUGAUCCAGCGAUGCCGCGUGUGUGAAGAAGGCCUGCGGGUUGUAAAGCACUUUAGUUGGUGAGGAGUAGGCACUUGAGAAUAUUGAGUGUUGAAGACGUUAACCAAAGAAUAAGCACCGGCAAACUCUGUG